rnacentral:rRNA from 1 species
UAAUACGGAGGAUGCAAGCGUUAUCCGGAUUUAUUGGGUUUAAAGGGUGCGUAGGCGGAAAAUUAAGUCAGUGGUGAAAUCCUACAGCUUAACUGUAGAACUGCCAUUGAAACUGAUUUUCUUGAGUACAGUUGAGGUGGGCGGAAUGUGUAAUGUAGCGGUGAAAUGCUUAGAUAUUACACAGAACACCGAUUGCGUAGGCAGCUCACUAAACUGUUACUGACGCUCAGGCACGAAAGCGUGGGGAGCGAACAGGAUUAGAUACCCUGGUAGUCCACGCCGUAAACGAUGAUCACUCGUUGUUGGCAAUACACCGUCAGCGACUAAGCUAAAGCAAUAAGUGAUCCACCUGGGGAGUACGGUCGCAAGAUUG